CAAGCCACAGAGUAAUACCCAUCCAGAGAGUUGUACCUCUCCCGUAAUGAUGGCUGAUAGACAGAUGAGUGCAUCACAUCCAUGGGAGAUGCAGUGCUGGCCCUUCACCAACUGGACCCAGUUUGGAAAAUAUUGCUCCUAUGUACUGUGGUGUAACUAUGGAACUGAAAACACAGGCUCUUCAGCGGUUCUUUAUAUAGGAAGUUUAAACAGUUCUCUCUAAAAUAAAAAUCGAUAUUGCUAAAAAGUAAAAAGUCUAUAAAUAACCAUUUCA